UACGUAGGGGGCAAGCGUUGUCCGGAAUCAUUGGGCGUAAAGAGCUCGUAGGCGGCUCAGUAAGUCGGGUGUGAAACCUCCAGGCUCAACCUGGAGACGCCACCCGAUACUGCUGUGGCUAGAGUCCAGUAGGGGAGUGUGGAAUUCCCGGUGUAGCGGUGAAACGCGCAGAUAUCGGGAGGAACACCAGCGGCGAAGGCGGCACUCUGGGCUGGUACUGACGCUGAGGAGCGAAAGCGUGGAUAGCAAACAGG
rnacentral:rRNA from 1 species